rnacentral:lncRNA from 1 species
GGUUCAACUAAAGUUGGAGAAACUGACACCCGCCAGCCACCUGUGUGCAAAGCACGUCUGUAGAAACACUCUCACGUAAGCGUACGCGUAAUGUCGGUCCGAGCCGCUUCAUCCAACAAUACCGCCGAACCAAAGUGUGACAUGCUGGUCAGCAGUAUGACUUAUAUUGCCCACAACUCACUUGUGUUCUACUCGUGCAUAUUACAUCAACGCAUAAAACCUGGCUCGGAUGCCACUGUUGGGGAACGUAGUAAUUUCAAAAAUUUCCUACGCACACGCAAGAUCAUGGUGAUGCAUAGCAACAAGAGGGGAGAGUGUUGUCCACGUACCCUCGUAGACCAAAAGCGGAAGCGUUAGCACAACACGGUUGAUGUAGUCAUACGUCUUCACAAUCCGACCGAUCAAGUAACGAACGCAUGGCACCUCCGAGUUUUGCACACGUUCAACUCGAUGACGUCCCUCGAACUCCGAUCUAGCCGAGUGUUGAGGGAGAGUUUCGUCAGCACGACGGCGUGGUGACGAUGAUGAUGUUCUACCGACGCAGGGCUUCGCCUAAUCACCGCUACGAUAUGACCGAGGUGGAUUAUGGUGGAGGGGGGACACCGCACACGGCUAAGAGAUCCAAGGGAUCAAUUGUUGUGUCUUUGGGGUGCCCCCUGCCCCUGUAUAUAAAGGAGUGGAGGAGGGGGAAGGUCGGCCCUCUCUAUGGCGCGCCCUAGGGGAGUCCUACUCCCACCGGGAGUAGGAUUCCCCCUUUCCUAGUAGAACUAGGAGCCCUUCCAAGUAGUAGGAGUGCGAGGGAAGGAAAGGGAAGGGAAAAGGAGAAGGAAGGAAGGGGCGCCCCACCUCCCUAGUCCAAUUCGGACCAGCCCAUGGGGGGGGUGCGGCCACCCUUUGAGGCCUUUCUCUCCUUUCCCUUAUGGCCCAUUAAGGCCCAAUACGAAUUCCCGUAACUCCUCGGUACUCCCGAAAAUACCCGAAUCACUCGGAACCUUUCCGGUGUCCGAAUAUAGUCGUCCAAUAUAUCGAUAUUUACGUCUCGACCAUUUCGAGACUCCUCGUCAUGUCCCCGAUCUCAUCCGGGACUCCGAAUUCCUUCGGUACAUCAAAAUACAUAAACUCAUAAUAUAACCGUCAUCGAACUUUAAGCGUGCGGACCCUACGGGUUCGAGAACUAUGUAGACAUGACCGAGACACGUCUCCGGUCAAUAACCAAUAGCGGAACCUGGAUGCUCAUAUUGGCUCCCACAUAUUCUACGAAGAUCUUUAUCGGUCAGACCGCAUAACUACAUACGUUGUUCCCUUUGUCAUCGGUAUGUUACUUGCCCGAGAUUCGAUCGUCGGUAUCUCAAUACCUUGUUCAAUCUCGUUACCGGCAACUCUCUUUACUCGUUCUGUAAUACAUCAUCCCGCAACUAACUCAUUAGUUGCAAGGCUUGCAAGGCUUAAGUGAUGUGCAUUACCGAGAGGGCCCAGAGAUACCUCUCCGACAAUCGGAGUGACAAAUCCUAAUCUCGAAAUACGCCAACCCAACAAGUACCUUUGGAGACACCUGUAGAGCACCUUUAUAAUCACCCAGUUAUGUUGUGAUGUUUGGUAGCACACAAAGUGUUCCUCCGGUAAACGGGAGUUGCAUAAUCUCAUAGUCAUAGGAACAUGUAUAAGUCAUGAAGAAAGCAAUAGCAACAAACUAAACGAUCAAGUGCUAUGCUAACGGAAUGGGUCAAGUCAAUCACAUCAUUCUCUAAUGAUGUGAUCCCGUUAAUCAAAUGACAACUCAUGUCUAUGGCUAGGAAACUUAACCAUCUUUGAUUCAACGAGCUAGUCAAGUAGAGGCAUACUAGUGACAUACUGUUUGUCUAUGUAUUCACACAUGUAUUAUGUUUCUGGUUAAUACAAUUCUAGCAUGAAUAAUAAACAUUUAUCAUGAUAUAAGGAAAUAAAUAAUAACUUUAUUAUUGCCUCUAGGGAAUAUUUCCUUCAGAUCCGUGGUUGCAAACACAGUCCAGUCGGCUCACAGCCCGAGAUCGCCCCCGAGGCGUGAAGGACGUGAGGACCGGCGAGAUCAGUACAGAAACCGCGAGCAGUGUGAUCACCGACUCGAUCACGAUGAUCAUCGUCGAGUGCCCACGCCUCCCGCAAGGAGUGGGUCAUACGUGCCUCGGCAACAUGAUGACAAACGUCCUCACAGUGGUGGGCGAAGGAUUCCAGUCGACCCCAGGGAGCGGUCUUUGAUGCGAGAUCUAUUCUCGUUCAGGGUCUGGUCGACAGAAACAGAGCUCAUAGAGAGGGUCACGAUAGAGAUUUCCCAACCAGCAGCAGGGUACAUGUCUCAGGUCUAGAGUGCUUCAGCGGAGCCAUCAGGGCUGCGGUGAUUCCUCCCAACUUCAGGUUGGCGACUGGAGUCAGUAAGUUCACUGGCGAGUCCAAGCCUGACACUUGGCUUGAGGAUUAUCGAGUGGUUGUACAGAUUGGUGGUGGCAACGAUGAAGUGGCCAUGAAGCACCUUCCUUUGAUGUUGGAGGGCUCAGCCAGAGCGUGGCUGAAUCAGUUAGCGCCUUGUAGUAUUUAUACUUGGGAAGAUCUUGCCCAAGUAUUUGUCAGAACAUUUGAAGGUACUUGCAAACGGCCAGCAGGGCUGACAGAAUUGCAGUGUUGCGUUCAGAAACUGAAUGAAACUUUGAGAGAUUAUAUCCAGAAAUGGAUCACGUUCCACCACAUGGUGGAGAAUGUGUCGGAUCACCAGGCAAUUUGUGCCUUCAAAGAGGCGUUAAGUAUCGGGAGUUGAACCUGAAAUUCGGUCGGACAGGAGAUAUGACUCUGACUCGGAUGAUGGAGAUUGCCACCAAGUAUGCCAAUGGUGAAGAAGAAGACCGACUCUAGAGUGGCAAGCACAAAACAGUCGCCCACGAAACCGGAGGAGGGAACUCCAGUCGGAAGCAAAAGCGCAAAGCCGAGCCAGUCGCUCCUGGUGAAGCCUUAGCCGUGACUCAAGGAAAGUUCAAAGGGAAACCCAAAGGGCCGUGGAACCCCAAGAAAGUAAAAGAUCAAGAUGGAAAUGAUGUGCUAGAUUUACCAUGCCACAUUCACACCAAAAAAGAUGAAGAGGGUAAUUUCAUUUACCCGAAGCAUACCACUCGACAGUGUCGACUCCUUAUCCAACAAUUCCGAGAUAAACAACCUAAGGAAAAGGAGAAGGAAGCGGACAAAGUUGAGGAUGAGGAGGAAGACGAUGAUGGUUACCCCCACGUCAAUUCCACUAUGAUGAUUUUCGCUGAUGUUGAGAGUAAGAGUCGACUGAAAGUCAUCAACAGAGAAGUGAACAUGGUCACUCUGGUGAUGCCUAGUUAUUUGAAGUGGUCUCAGACUGCCAUUACAUUCGACCAGUCCGAUCACCCAGCGCACAUAGGCACCCCUGGGAGGCAAGUGCUGGUGGUCGACCCAGUAGUCGAAGGCACUCGAUUGACUAUGGUUCUGAUGGAUGGUGGCAGUGGUCUGAAUAUACUAUAUGCAGAGACGUUGAAAGGAAUGGGCAUUCCGAUGUCCAGACUCAGUGAAAGUAAUAUGAGUUUCCAUGGAGUUAUUCCUGGCAAGAAGGCUGCGUCACUCGGCCAGAUCGCCCUUGAUGUAGUUUUUGGUGAUUCCAAGAAUUACCGCAAAGAAAAUUUGACAUUUGAAGUUGUGGAUUUCCAGAGUGCUUAUCAUGCUAUUCUAGGAAGGCCAGCUUAUGCACGUUUUAUGGCUCGACCAUGUUACGUGUACCUUAAAUUGAAGAUGCCUGGUCCUAAAGGGGUGAUCACUAUCACUGGCAGUCAAAAGAAGGCAGAAGAGUGCUUCUAGAAGGGCUCAAAGAUCGCCGAUGCACAUAUGGCAGUAGUAGAGUUGCAGGAGUAUGAAAAAAAUGCAGAUCCAAGUGAUUUGUUGCGAGCUAAGAAGCCUACCACAGAUUCAGCAUUCUAGUCGUCUGGUGAAAUGAAGCCGAUUCAUAUUCAUCCAACGGAUCCCAAUGCUGCUCCGACUCACAUUUCAACAACACUCGACUCCAAAUAGGAAGAAGCGCUCAUAUAGUUCCUCCGUGAGAACUGGGACAUCUUUGUAUAGAAACCUUCUGACAUGCCAGGUGUUCCCAGGGGACUGGCUGAGCAUCAUUUGCGAGUCGACCCAAAAGUGAAACCAGUCAAAGAACAUCUUCGACGGUCCACCGUACAGAAGAGGAAGGUAAUCAGUGAAGAAGUGGCUCGGCUUCUGGCAGCUGAGUUUAUCCGAGAGAUUUACCACUCCGAGUGGUUAGCUAAUGUUGUCAUGGUCCCAAAGAAGGACGACUCACUUCGCAUGUGCAUCGACUUCAAACAUAUCAAUCAGGCCUGCCCGACAGAUCACUUUCCUCUCCCUCACAUUGACCAAAUAGUUGACUCGACUACGGGGUGUGAGCGUUUGUCCUUUUUGGAUGCUUAUUCCGGGUAUCAUCAUAUCCGUCUGUAUGGAACCGAUGAGAUAAAAACAACUUUCAUCACCCCAUUUGGGUGCUUCUAUUAUGUCACUAUGCCAUUCAGUUUGAAGAACGCUGGAGCCACAUUCAUGCGGAUGAUUGAGAAGUGCUUGCUCACUCAGAUCAGUCGGAACAUGGAAGCAUACAUGGAUGACAUUGUGGUCAAGUCACGUAAAGGUUCCGACCUACUGGCUGACCUUGCUGAAACCUUUGCCAACCUCAGAAGGUAUGAUAUCAAGCUUAAUUCAUCAAAGUGCACGUUUGGAGUUCCAGGCGGAAAAUUACUCGGUUUUCUCGUUUCCGAAUGAGGGAUCGACGCUAACCCAGAGAAAGUGGGUGCCAUACUCUGGAUGAAACGCCCUGUGCGUGUGCAUGAUGUCCAGAAUCUUACUGGUUGUUUGGCCGCCCUAAGUCGAUUCAUUUCUCGCCUCGGUGAAGAGGCACUGCCUCUUUACCGACUGAUGAAGAAGUCAGAUAAGUUCGAGUGGACUCCUGAAGCUGAUGCAACAUUUGCAGAGCUUAAAGCCCUGCUUUCCACCCAGCCGGUGCUUGCUGCUCCAAUCAGCAAAGAGCCUUUACUGCUUUACAUUGCAGCCACUGGACAAGUCGUCAGUACAGUACUUACGGUUGAGCGGGAAGAAGAAGGAAAAGCCUACAAAGUUCAGCGCCCAGUACACCAUGUCUCUGAAGUUUUGACUCCAUCAAAGCAAAGAUAUCCACAUUAUCGGAAGCUUGUUUAUGGGAUUUAUAUGACGACGAAGAAGGUUGCACAUUACUUCUCUGAUCACUCCAUUACAGUCAUCAGCGAUGCUCCAUUAUCAGAGAUUCUGAACAACAGAGAUGCAACUGGUCGAGUGGCAAAGUGGGUGAUUGAACUCCUUCCCUUAGAUAUCAAGUUCGAGGCAAAGAAAGUUAUCAAGUCCCAAGCAAUAGCGGAUUUCCUCGCCGAAUGGAUUGAACAACAACUGCCGACUCAAGUUCACUCGGAGCACUGGACCAUGUUCUUUGAUGGCUCCAAGAUGCUGAAUGGUUCCGGUGCUGGGGUGGUACUGGUAUCCUCCCGAGGAGACAAGCUUAGAUAUGUCCUCCAGAUUCACUUUGAUUCCUCCAAUAACGAAGCAAAAUAUGAAUCACUCUUGUAUGGGUUGCGUAUGGCCAUCUCACUCGGCGUCCGUCGCCUCAUGGUCUAUGGCGACUCAGAUUCGGUAGUCAAUCAAGUGAUGAAGGAAUGGGACGUCAGAAGCCCAGCCAUGACUGGUUACUGCAACGCGGUGAGGAAGUUGGAAAAGAAGUUUGAGGGGUUAGAGCUCCAUCAUAUACCCCGACUAAAAAAUCAAGCAGCAUAUGAUUUAGCAAAGAUAGGUUCCAAGAGAGAAGCUAUUCACAGUAAUGUGUUCCUGGAGCAUAUUCAUGCACCUUCAGUUCAAGAAGAUCCCUUCGCUGAAGAGCCCCCGUAGCCUAAGAGUGCCACAGAUUCGACUGAAGUCGAGGUCCCAGCUGUGGUUGACUUGACCAUGGAGGUGUUGGUCAUCACUCCCGACUGGAUGGUGACAUACAUUGCAUAUAUCCUUAGGAAAGAGCUCCCAGAGGAUGAAGAAGAGGCUUGACAGAUCGUCCGUCAAUCCAAGGCCUUUACUGUAAUAAGAGGACAACUGUUUAGAGAAAGUGCAAUUGGAGUCAGCCAGAAAUGCAUAACGCCAGAAGAAGGUCGAGUGAUCCACCAUGACAUCCAUUCGGGGACCUGUGGUCACCAUGCAUCCUCUCGGACCAUUGUGGCUAAAGCAUACCGAGCUGGAUUUUAUUGGCCACGAGCAAAUGAAAUGGUGAAAGAUAUAGUCGACAGAUGUGAAGGCUUCCAGUUCUACUCCAAUAUGUCGCACAAACCUGCAUCAACCCUAAAGACCAUUCCACUCGUCUGGUCCUUUGCUGUUUGGGGAUUGGACAUGGUUGGUCCACUGAAGACUGGUAGGAGUGGCUUUACUCACGUGCUUGUAGCAGUCGACAAGUUUACCAAAUGGAUCAAAGCCAAGCCUAUUAAGAAUCUUGAAGCUAGUACUGUUGUCAGCUUCAUCAGAGAGUUAAUAUUCAGAUAUGGGGUUCCGCACAGCAUCAUCAGUGACAACGGAUCGAACUUCGAUUCUGAUCAGUUCAGAACCUUCUGCGCCUCACAAGGCACACGAGUCGACUAUGCUUCAGUCACCCAUCCCCAGUCGAAUGGACAAGCAGAAAGAGCAAAUGGCCUGAUUCUCAAAGGACUGAAACCCCGACUGAUGCGAGAUCUCAAGCACGCAGUGGGCGCCUGGGUUGAUGAACUUCCAUCAGUUCUUUGGGGAUUGAGGACAACUCCCAAUCGGUCGACUGGCCGAACUCCAUUCUUCUUGGUCUAUGGGGCUGAAGCUAUUGUACCGAGUGACUUGCUUCAUAAUGCACCACGAGUUGAGCUCUUCUCUGAAGAUGAAGCAGAACAAUCUCGGCAAGACGCAGUCGACCUCCUAGAGGAGGAAAGAGAGAUGGCCUUGAUCUGGUCGACCAUUUAUCAGCAAGACUUGCGUCGAUUCCAUGCUAGACACAUAAAGGGUCGAGCCUUUCAAGAGGGUGACUUGGUUCUUUGAGUGGAUCAGCAGAAACCACACAAGCUCGCCCCAGCUUGGGAAGGUCCCUUCAUUGUCACCAGAGUGCUCCACAAUGGAGCAUACCACCUUUACAAUGUCGAGCAUAAGAAGGACGAGCCACGGGAUUGGAAUGCGGAGCUGCUCUGCCCCUUUUAUACUUAAGUACUCGUUCGAAUAAAAUGUAAUAAGAAAUACCUUUGUAAUUUGUUUAUCAAAGACAAGAGCUUUAAAGUCCUCUUGAACGAUUGUUGUUGCUUUUAUUUGCGUCUGAAAUCCCCCAGUGGGUGACUUAACUGCAAAUCCAUUUCUCCUAAGUUCAAAAGAAAAUCCUACCGAGUGGUGAGCAAGCCUCUCACUCGGGGGCUUAGCUGCGAAUCCGUUUCGCCUAAGUUUGAAAAAUCCUACCGAGUGGUGAGAAACCCUCUCACUCGAGGGCUGAUGACCCACAAGUAUAGGGGAUCUAUUGUAGUACUUUCGAUACGUAAGAGUGUCGAACCCAACGAGGAGCAGAAGGAAAUGAUAAGCGGUUUUCAGCAAGGUAUUCUCUGCAAAUACUGAAAUAAGUGGUAACAGAUAGUUUUGUGAUAAGAUAAAUUGUAACGAGCAACAAGUAACAAAAGUAAAUAAAGUGCAGCAAGGUGGCCUGAUACUUUUUGUAGCAAAGGACAAGCCGGAACAAACUCUUAUAAUAGGAAAAGCGCUCCCGAGGACACAUGGGAAUAUCGUCAAGCUAGUUUUCAUCACGUUCAUAUGAUUUGCGUUCGGUACUUUGAUAAUUUGGUAUGUGGGUGGACCUGUGCUUGGGUACUGCCCUUACUUGGACAAGCAUCCCACUUAUGAUUAACUUCUAUUGCAAGCAUCCGCAACUACAACAAAAGUAUUAAGGUAAACCUAACCAUAGCAUGAAACAUAUGGAUCCAAAUCAGCCCCUUACGAAGCAAUGCAUAAACUAGGGUUUAAGCUUCUGUCACUCUAGCAACCCAUCAUCUACUUAUUACUUCCCAAUGCCUUCCUCUAGGCCCAAAUAAUGGUGAAGUGUUAUGUAGUCGACGCUCACAUAACACCACUAGAGGCUAGAAAACAUACAUCUUAUCAAAAUAUCAAACGAAUACCAAAUUCACAUGACUACUAAUAGCAAGACUUCUCCCUUGUCCUUAGGAACAAACGUAAUUACUCACAAAGCAUAUACAUGUUCAUAAUCAGAGGGUAAUAAUAUGCAUAUAGGAUCUGAACAUAUGAUCUUCCACCAAAUAAACCAACUAGCAUCAACUACAAGGAGUAAUCAACACUACUAGCAACCUACUAGCACCAAUCCCGGACUUUGAGACAAGAAUUGGAUACAAGAGAUGAACUAGGGUUUGGAGAUGAGAUGGUGCUGGUGAAGAUGUUGAUGGAGAUUGCCCUCUCCCAAUGAGAGGAGCGUUGGUGAUGACGAUGGUGAUGAUUUCCCCCUCUCGGAGGGAAGUAUCCCCGACAGAAGAGCUCUGCCAGAGCUCUAGAUUGGUUCCGCCAAGGUUCCGCCUGGUGGCGGCGGAGUCUCGUCCCAAAAAGUUCCUUCUUAUUUUUUUUCUCAUCGAAAGACUUCAUAUAGGAGAAGAUGGACGUCUGAGAGCCACCAGGGGGCCCACAAGGUAGGGGGGGCGCCCUNNNNNNNNNNNNNNNNNNNNNNNNNNNNNNNNNNNNNNNNNNNNNNNNNNNNNNNNNNNNNNNNNNNNNNNNNNNNNNNNNNNNNNNNNNNNNNNNNNNNNNNNNNNNNNNNNNNNNNNNNNNNNNNNNNNNNNNNNNNNNNNNNNNNNNNNNNNNNNNNNNNNNNNNNNNNNNNNNNNNNNNNNNNNNNNNNNNNNNNNNNNNNNNNNNNNNNNNNNNNNNNNNNNNNNGGGUGUGGGCCCCCUGGCCUUCAUCUUUGGCGAGGAUUUUUCUUUAUUUAUUUUAAGAUGUUCCGUGGAGUUUCAGGACUUUUGGAGUUGCGCAGAAUAGGUCUCUAAUAUUUGCUCCUUUUCUAGCCCAGAAUUCCAGCUGCCGGCAUUCUCCCUCCUUAUGUAAACCUUGUAAAAUAAGAGAGAAUAGCCAUAAGUAUUGUGACAUAAAGUGAAAUAGCAGUCCAUAAUGCAAUAAAUAUCGAUAUAAAAGCAUGAUGAAAAAUGGACGUAUCAACUCCCCCAAGCUUAGACCUUGCUUGUCCUCAAGCGAAAAGCCGAUAACAAUAAAUAUGUCCUCAUGUUUAGAGGUAGAGGCGUCGAUAAAAAUAAAAUAUGGACAUGAAGGCAUCAUGAUUAUUCUCAUAACAACAACAUAUAUAGAUUUUGUCAUAUGAUUACUUAUGUUCAAGUGAUGAUCUAUUCACAAUGCAAAAGUAUAAAUCAUAAACCUUAUUGGGCUCCGACAAACUAUAAUCUCAGUCAUUGAAGCAAUUGCAAUUUAUCAUAACAUCGGAAAUAGUCUAUGUCAGAGCUAAAAAGCAAGUCCACAUACUUAACUAUCAUUUAGUCCUCCAUAAUUGCUAACACUCACGCAAUACUUGUGGUUACGGAGUUUUAAUCCGACACAGAGAGAGAUAGGGGCUUAUAGUUUUGCCCCACAACCUUUUACCUCAAGGGUAAUGUCAACAAUAAUGGUUCAUGCUCCCCUACAUCCAAUUAGAUAUAUAUAUCAUGUUCUUUCCAACAUGCUGAGCUUGCCAAAGGAUAAAAUGAAAAGGGAAAGGUGAAGAUCACCGUGACUCUUGCAUAAGGUAGAAGAUAAUAAUAAAAGAUAGGCCCUUCACAGAGGGAAGCAGAGGUUGCCAUGCGCUUUUAUGGUUGGAUGCAUAAAAUCUCAAUGUGAAAGAACGUCACUUUAUAUUGCCCCUUGUGAUAUGAACCUUUAUUAUGCAGUCCGUCGCUUUUAUUACUUCCACAUCACAAGAACGUAUAAAGAUUAUUUCUCCCACACCAAUCAAUCAUACAUAUUUAGAGCAAUUUUUAUUGCUUUGCACCGAUGACAACUUACUUGAAGGAUCUUACUCAAUCCAUAGGUAGAUAUGGUGGACUCUCAUGGCAAAACUGGUUUAGGGAUUUUUGAAGCACAAGUAGUAUUUCUACUUGGUGCUGAGAAUUUGGCUAGCAUGAGGGGGAAAGGCAAGCUCAACAAGUUAGAGGAUCCAUGACAACAUACUUUAUCUCAGAUAUAAGAAAGACAUAACCCAUUAUGUUGUCUUUCUUGUCCAAUGUCAACUCUUUAGCAUGUCAUAUUUUAAUGAGUGCUCCCAAUCAUAAAAGAUGUCAAUGAUAAUAUAUCUAUAUGUGAAAACCUCUCUUUCCUUAUUACUUCCUAUUAAUUGCAACAAUGACCAAAGCUAUGUCUGCCAACUCCCAACAACUUUUAAUCAUCAUACUCUUUCUAUGUGAAGUGAUUAAUCUCAAUAAGAUCAAUAUGAACUUUUUGUUUCUUUUUAUUCCUUUCCUCUUUUCUUUUAUUCACCCCAAGAUCAUGGCAAAAUAAUCAAGCCCUUGACUCAACACUAAUCUUUAUUAUAUAUAGCUCACGGACUCGAUUACAAAGAAAGAUCAUAAAGCAAACUCAAAACUAGAUCAUGGCAUAAACUUUAUUCUACUAGAUCAAGAUACUACUAAUAGGAUCGAACUAAGAAAAAGGGUAAAGAUAGGAGUUGUGAUUGUGAUACGAUACUGGGGCACCUCCCCCAAGCUUGGCAGUUGCCAAGGGGAGUGCCCAUACCCAUGUGAUUAUAUCUCCUUUGUCGAUGAAGAAGGUGGAGGUGACGGAUAAUCGCACAUCGAGCGUAAGAGGUCCUCCAGCUUGCGAAUAAUGCCCUUGAGUGCGACAAUAUGCUCCUUAAACAAAAUAUUUUCUUGUGUGAGAUACUUUUUUUGUAUACGAGCUAACUCAAUCAUCUUGAAAGCUUCGAUCUCAGUUGGGGUAAGAAGGUUAUGAUCAAGUUGAAGGAUGUCUUUUGUUGUCGGAGCUUGAUCCUCCGUGGCCUUCUUGAUUCUUUCAUCCUUUUUGACCCUCGUGGGUUCUUCCCUCUUCAGAUCUAUCUUCAUUAGCCAAGCAUCGUUGUCACCAUUGUUGGAGGAGGGAGACGACAUGAUGCCUAGCCUGGAAAACCCUGACAGAAAACAGCUCGAAACAAGAACAUAGGAGGUUUGCGUGAUACGGGAGUCAAAACCUUCAGGAGGUUAUAUAAUGAAUUUUUACUGACCAAAAUAGGUAUCGUGCAAGAAAACGGAGUCCGGAAGGCACACGAGGUGCUCACGAGGUAGGGGGGCACGCCCACCACCCUCGUGGGGCCCUCGUGUCCUUCCCGGACUGCUACUUAUUUUUCUAUUUUUCUAAAUAUUCCAAAACGGAGAAAUAUUGCCUUAAAAAUUGUUUUGGAGUCGGUUUACUUACCGUACCACAUACCUAAUCCUUUUCGGGGUCUGAAACAUUCCGAAAAGUGUCCCUUAUGUAUUCCUCCGGGGUUACGGUUUCAAUAAUAUUGGUUUCAACAUUUAUGGGAUUACCUGAGAUAUAAUGUUUGAUUCUUUGACUGUUUACCACCUUCGGAUUUGUACCUUCAAAGUUGUUGAUUUUUAUGGCACCAGAACGAUAGACCUCCUCGAUAACGUAGGGGCCUUCCCAUUUAGAGAGAAGUUUUCCUACAAAAAAUCUUAAACGAGAGUUGUAUAGCAAUACAUAAUCACCUACAUUAAACUCACGCUUUUGUAUCCUUUUGUCAUGCCAUCUUUUAACUUUUUCUUUAAACAAUUUGGCAUUUUCAUAAGCUUGGGUUCUCCAUUCAUCGAGUGAGCUAAUAUCAAAUAACCUCUUUUCACCGGCAAGUUUGAAAUCAUAGUUGAGCUCUUUAAUAGCCCGAUAUGCCUUAUGUUCUAGUUCGAGAGGUAAGUGACAUGCUUUUCCAUAAACCAUUUUAUACGGAGACAUACCCAUAGGAUUUUUGUAUGCAGUUCUAUAAGCCCAUAAUGCAUCAUCAAGUUUCUUGGACCAAUUCUUUCUAGACCUAUUAAUAGUCUUUUGCAAAAUUAAUUUGAGCUCUCUAUUGCUCAACUCUACUUGACCACUAGACUGAGGGUGAUAAGGAGAUGCAAUUCUAUGAUUAACAUCAUAUUUAGGAAGCAUUUUACGGAAAGCACCAUGAAUAAAGUGUGAACCACCAUCAGUCAGUAAAUAUCUAGGGACUCCAAACCUCGGGAAAAUAACUUCCUUAAGAAUUUUAAUAGAAGUGUUAUGAUCAACACUACUAGUUGGAAUAGCUUCUACCCACUUAGUAACGUAAUCAACAACAACUAAAAUAUGUGUGUAUCCAUUAGAGGCAGGAAAAGGUCCCAUAUAAUCAAAGCCCCAAACAUCAAACAGUUCAAUAACAAGAGAAUAAUUCAUAGGCAUUUCUUGACGUCUACUAAUAUUACCAAGUCUUUGACAUUCAUCACAAGACAAGACAAACUUACGGGCAUCCUUGAAGAGAGUAGGCCAAUAAAAACCAGAUUGCAAUACCUUAUGUGCAGUUCUAUCUCCAGCGUGGUGUCCUCCAUAAGCCUCGGAAUGACACUUGCGUAGGAUCUCUUCCUGUUCAUGCUUAGGUACACAACGUCUAAUAACACCAUCUACUCCUUCUUUAUAAAGAUGUGGGUCAUCCCAAAAGUAAUGUCUUAAAUCAUAGAAAAACUUUUUCUUUUGCUGGUAUGUGAAGCUAGGUGGUAUAAAUUUAGCAACAAUAUAAUUAGCAUAAUCAGCAUACCAUGGAGUACUACGAGAAUUACUUAUAACAUUUAAUUGUUCAUCAGGAAAGCUAUCAUUAAUAGGUAGUGGGUCAUCAAGAAUAUUUUCUAACCUAGACAAGUUGUCUGCAAUGGGGUUCUCAGCUCCCUUUGUAUCAACAAUAUGCAAAUCAAAUUCUUGUAGCAAGAGAACCCAUUUAAUAAGUCUAGGUUUAGCCUCUUUCUUUUCCAUAAGGUAUUUAAUAACAGCAUGAUCAGUUUGAAUAGUUACUUUAGAAUCAACAAUAUAAGGUCUGAACUUAACACAAGCAAAUACAACUGCUAAAAGCUCUUUUUCAGUAGUAGCAUAAUUUCUUUGAGCAUUGUCUAGAGUCUUACUAGGAUAAUGAAUAACAUUUAAUUUCUUAUCAACUCUUUGCCCUAGAACAACACCUACAGCAUAAUCGCUAGCAUCACACAUAAUUUCAAAGGGUAAAUGCCAAUCAGGUGGCUGAACAAUAGGUGCAGAUACUAAUGCUUUCUUAAGUGUUUCAAAUGCUUCUACACAAUCAUCAUCAAAUACAAAUGGUAUAUCUUUUUGCAAUAAAUUAGUCAGAGGCCGAGAAAUUUUUGAGAUGUCCUUAAUGAACCUCCUGUAAAAUCCGGCAUGACCAAGGAAACUUCUUAUACCUUUGAUGUCCUUGGGACAUGGCAUCUUUUCAAUCGCAUCAACCUUGGCUUUAUCAACUUCAAUACCUCUUUUAGAAACUUUAUGCCCCAAGACAAUACCUUCAUUAACCAUAAAGUGGCACUUUUCCCAAUUCAAGACAAGAUUAGUUUCUUCACAUAUCUGCAAAACUCGAUCAAGAUUGCUUAAGCAAUCAUCAAAAGAGGAACCAUAGACGGAAAAGUCGUCCAUGAAAACCUCACAAAUCUUUUCACAGAAGUCAGAGAAUAUAGCCAUCAUGCAUCUUUGAAAGGUAGCAGGUGCAUUACAUAAACCAAAAGGUAUACGUCUAUAAGAAAAAGUACCAAAAGGGCAUGUAAAAGUAGUCUUUGCUUGAUCUCUAGCCGACACAGGUAUUUGAGAGAAACCGGAAUAACCAUCUAGAAAGCAAUAGUGUGUAUGUUUGCAUAAUCUUUCUAGCAUUUGAUCAAUAAAAGGUAAGGGGUAAUGAUCUUUCUUAGUAGCUUUAUUUAAUUUGCGGAAAUCAAUUACCAUCCUAUAACCUGUGUUAAUUCUUUGUGGAAUCAAUUCAUCUUUAUCAUUAGGAACAACAGUAAUACCUCCCUUCUUAGGGAUACAAUGGACAGGACUUACCCACUCACUAUCAGCAACGGGAUAGAUUAUACCUGCCUCCAGAAGCUUGAGUAUUUCUUUUCUUACCACUUCUUUCAUUUUAGGAUUCAGGCGUCGUUGAGGAUCACGAACUGGUUUGGCAUUUGCUUCCAAAUUUAUUUUAUAUUGACAUAGAGUGGGACUAAUGCCCUUAAGAUCAUCAAGAGUAUAUCCAAUAGCAGCACGAUGCUUCUUUAGAGUUUUCAAUAAUCUUUCUUCUUCAUGCUCUGAAAGGUUAGCACUAAUAAUAACAGGAUAUAUCUUCUUUUCAUCAAGAUAAGCAUAUUUAAGAUUAUCAGGCAAAGGUUUAAGCUCAAACACGGGAUCACCCUUGGGUGGAGGAGGAUCCCCUAAAAUUUCAACAGGCAAGUUGUGUUGCAGAAUAGGUUCCUGUUUAAAGAAUACUUCAUCUAUUUCCCUUCUUUCAUUCAUGAACAUAUCAUUUUCAUGGUCUAGCAAAUAGUGUUCUAAAGGAUCACUAGGAGGUACGGCAAUAGAAGCAAGACCAAUAAUUUCAUCCUUACUAGAUAAUUCUUCCUCAUGAUGUUGUUUACUAAAUUUAGAGAAAUUAAACUCAUGAACCAUAUCAUCCAAGCCAACAGUAACAACAUUCUUUGUGCAAUCUAUGGUAGCAUUAACAGUAUUUAAGAAGGGUCUACCAAAUAUAAUGGGACAAAAGCUAUCUUGUGGGGAACCAAGAAGAAGAAAAUCAGCAGGAUAUUUAGUUUUCCCACACAAGAUUUCAACAUCUCUAACAAUUCCCAUUGGUGAAAUAGUAUCUCUAUUAGCAAGUUUAAUAGUAACAUCAAUUUCUUCUAACUCAACAGGUGCAAUGUCAUGCGUAAUUUCUUUGUAUAAGUCAAUAGGUAUUGCACUAGCACUAGCACCCAUAUCACAUAAGCCAUGAUAACAAUGGUCUCCUAUUUUAACAGAUAUAACAGGCAUGCCUACCACAGGUCUAGGUUUAUCUGUAUCACGGGGUUUAGCAAUUCUAGCAGUUUCAUUACAGAAGUAAAUAACAUGCCCAUCUAUAUUAUCAGACAAGAGAUCUUUAACAAUAGCCAUAUUAGGUUCUACUUUAACUUGCUCAGGAGGUGUAUAAGUUCUAAUAUUGCUUUUACGAACAACAGUUGAAGCUUUAGCAUGAUCUUUAUUCUAACAGAGAAAGGUGGUUUCUCAACAUAAGAAGUAGGAACAAUAGGAUCAUUAUAAGUGACAGUCUUUUCUUCAACUUUAAUAGGUGCAGCUACUUUUACUUCUAUGGGAGGAUGAUAUUUAAACCACUUCUCCUGAGGGAGAUCAACAUAAGUAGCAAAAGAUUCACAAAAAGAAGCUACUAUCUCAGAGUCAAGUCCAUAUUUAGUGCUAAACUUAUGGAAAAUAUCGGUAUCCAUAAAAGAUUUAACACAAUCAAACUUAGGUGUCAUACCCGACUCCUUACCUUCGUCGAGGUCCCAAUCUUUAGAGUUGCGUUUAAUUCUAUCCAAUAAAUUCCAUCUGAAUUCAAUAGUCUUCAUCAUAAAAGAGCCAACACAAGAAAUAUCGAGCAUGGUGCGAUUGUUUUCAGAAAGCCGAGCAUAAAAACUUUGCAUAAUUAUUUCUCUCGAGAGCUCAUGAUUGGGGCAUGAAUAUAACAUUGAUUUAAGCCUCCCCCAAGCUUGAGCGAUGCUUUCUCGUUCGCGAGGCCAGAAAUUGUAUAUAUAAUUGCGAUCACGAUGAACAAGAUGCAUAGGGUAAUACUUUUGAUGAAAUUCCAAUUUCAAUCUUUUAUAGUUCCAUGAUUUCAUAUCAUCACAUAGCCUAUACCAUAUCAAUGCGUCUCCCUUCAAAGAUAAAGGGAAGACCUUCUUCUUAGCAACAUCAUCGGGUAUACCUGCAAGCUUAAAUAAUCCACAAACUUCAUCCACAUAUAUUAAGUGCUCAUCAAGAUGCUUUGUUCCAUCUCCUGUAAAAGGGUUAGCUAGCAGUUUUUCCAUCAUACCCGAAGGAAAUUCAAAAGGAGUUUCAUUUUCAAUAGGUUUAGUUGGUUGAGGAGAAACUCUUUGCUCUACUGGACGGGGUGAAGAUACCCCGAACAAGCCCCUCAGAGAAUUACUUUCCAUAGUAAUAAGUGACAGUAAAUUUCAGCACACUAUAUAAUUUUUCCUUACCAAAUUCCACCUACCAAAGGCGCUACACUCCCACGGCGCCAGAAAAGAGUCUUGAUGACCCACAAGUAUAUGGGAUCUAUCGUAGUCCUUUCGAUAAGUAAGAGUGUCGAACCCAACGAGGAGCAGAAGGAAAUGAUAAGCGGUUUUCACCAAGGUAUUCUCUGCAAAUACUGAAAUAAGUGGUAACAGAUAGUUUUGUGAUAAGAUAAUUGUAACGAGCAACAAGUAACAAAAGUAAAUAAAGUGCAGCAAGGUGGCCCAAUCCUUUUUGUAGCAAAGGACAAGCCGGAACAAACUCUUAUAAUAGGAAAAGCGCUCCCGAGGACACAUGGGAAUAUCGUCAAGCUAGUUUUCAUCACGUUCAUAUGAUUCGCGUUCGAUACUUUGUUAAUUUGAUAUGUGGGUGGACCGGUGCUUGGGUGCUGUUCUUACUUGAACAAGCAUCCCACUUAUGAUUAACUUCUAUUGCAAGCAUCCACAACUACAACAAAAGUAUUAAGGUAAACCUAACCAUAGCAUGAAACAUAUGGAUCCAAAUCAGCCCCUUACGAAGCAACGCAUAAACUAGGGUUUAAGCUUCUGUCACUCUAGCAACCCAUCAUAUACUUAUUACUUCCCAAUGCCUUCCUCUAGGACCAAAUAAUGGUGAAGUGUUAUGUAGUCAACGUUCACAUAACACCACUAGAGGCUAGACAACAUACAUCUUAUCAAAAUAUCAAACGAAUACCAAAUUCACAUGACUACUAAUAGCAAGACUUCUCCCUUGUCCUCAGGAACAAACGUAAUUACUCACAAAGCAUAUACAUGUUCAUAAUCAGAGGGUAAUAAUAUGCAUAUAGGAUCUGAACAUAUGAUCUUCCACCAAAUAAACCAACUAGCAUCAACUACAAGGAGUAAUCAACACUACUAGCAACCUACUAGCACCAAUCCCGGACUUUGAGACAAGAAUUGGAUACAAGAGAUGAACUAGGGUUUGGAGAUGAGAUGGUGCUGGUGAAUAUGUUGAUGGAGAUUGCCCUCUCCUGAUGAGAGGAGCGUUGGUGAUGACGAUGGUGAUGAUUUCCCCCUCCCGGAGGGAAGUAUCCUCGGCAGAACAGCUCUGCCGGAGCUCUAGAUUGGUUCUGCCAAGGUUCCGCCUCGUGGCGGCGGAGUCGCGUCCCGAAAAGUUCCUUCUUAUUUUUUUCUCAUCGAAAGACUUCAUAUAGGAGAAGAUGGACGUCGGAGAGCCACCAGGGGGCCCACGAGGUAGGGGGACGCGCCCUAGGGGGGGGCCACCCUUGUGAGCAGGGUGUGGGCCCCUGGCCUUCAUCUUUGGCGAGGAUUUUUCUUUAUUUAUUUCAAGAUGUUCCAUGGAGUUUCAAGACUUUUGGAGUUGCGCAGAAUAGGUCUCUAAUUGCUCCUUUUCCAGCCCAGAAUUCCAGCUGCCGGCAUUCUCCCUCCUUAUGUAAACCUUGUAAAAUAAGAGAGAAUAGCCAUAAGUAUUGUGACAUAAAGUGAAAUAACAGUCCAUAAUGCAAUAAAUAUCGAUAUAAAAGCAUGAUGCAAAAUGGACGUAUCAGGGGCUUAGCUGCAGUCCAGUACCCGCCUAAGUUUGAAAAAUCCUACCGAGUGGUGAGCAACCCUCUCACUCGGGGGCUUAGCUGCAGUCCAGUACUCGCCUAAGUUUGGAAAAUCCUACCGAGUGGUGAGCAACCCUCUCACUCGGGGGCUUAGCUGCAGUCCAGUACUCGCCUAAGUUUAAAAAAUCCUACCGAGUGGUGAGCAAGCCUCUCACUCGGGGGCUUAGCUGCAGUCCAGUACUCGCNNNNNNNNNNNNNNNNNNNNNNNNNNNNNNNNNNNNNNNNNNNNNNNNNNNNNNNNNNNNNNNNNNNNNNNNNNNNNNNNNNNNNNNNNNNNNNNNNNNNNNNNNNNNNNNNNNNNNNNNNNNNNNNNNNNNNNNNNNNNNNNNNNNNNNNNNNNNNNNNNNNNNNNNNNNNNNNNNNNNNNNNNNNNNNNNNNNNNNNNNNNNNNNNNNNNNNNNNNNNNNNNNNNNNNNNNNNNNNNNNNNNNNNNNNNNNNNNNNNNNNNNNNNNNNNNNNNNNNNNNNNNNNNNNNNNNNNNNNNNNNNNNNNNNNNNNNNNNNNNNNNNNNNNNNNNNNNNNNNNNNNNNNNNNNNNNNNNNNNNNNNNNNNNNNNNNNNNNNNNNNNNNNNNNNNNNNNNNNNNNNNNNNNNNNNNNNNNNNNNNNNNNNNNNNNNNNNNNNNNNNNNNNNNNNNNNNNNNNNNNNNNNNNNNNNNNNNNNNNNNNNNNNNNNNNNNNNNNNNNNNNNNNNNNNNNNNNNNNNNNNNNNNNNNNNNNNNNNNNNNNNNNNNNNNNNNNCCUAAGUUUGUAAAAUCCUACCGAGUGGUGAGCAACCCUCUCACUCGGGGGCUUAGCUGCAGUCCAGUACUCGCCUAAGUUUGUAAAAUCCUACCGAGUGGUGAGCAACCCUCUCACUCGGGGGCUUAGCUGCAGUCCUGUACUCGCUUAAGUUUGUGAAAUCCUACCGAGUGGUGAGCAACCCUCCCACUCGGGGGCUUAGCUGCAGUCCAGUACUCGCCUAAGUUUAAAAAAUCCCACCAAGUGGUGAGCAACCCUCCCACUCGGAGGCUUAGCUAUAGUCCAGUACUUGCCUAAGGUUUAAAAGUCUAUCCCUAUCCGCAAGGACGACGAGGUGCAGGUCGAUCACGGCCUUCUUCUCCGAGCUACGCCACAAGUACAACAUACGCUCCAUCCCCAUCCGCAAGGACAACGAGGUGUAGGUCGACCAUGACCUUCUUCUCCGAGCUACACCACAAGUACAACGUACGCUCUAUCCCUAUCCGCAAGGACGACGAGGUGCGGGUCGACUGUGACCUCCUUCUCCGAGCUACGCCACAAAUACAAUGUGUGCCCAUCCCUAUCCGCAAGGACGACGAGGCACAAGUCGAUUGAACUGUCCACUUCAGGGCUACAUCCCAAAGAGCAAAUUCUAUGCGAAGGCGAAUACAAACAUAUUCAGAAAUAAACCAAGUUCAGAUAGAUCCUAAAAAUUCCAGGCGACGGAUCAAAAGUAUUUGGGCAUCAAGCCCGAAGGAGUUUAAUGGUUACAGCAACCACUCGGCAUCCCAAGACAAAUUUAAGGCAAGUUUAAAUCUCAAAGUUUGUCCAUUCGGCAGGAGGAGGGCUGGCAGGUUCAACGAAUUCGUCCAAGUCGAUUCCAUCUGCAAUCCGAGUGGCGGCAGCUAUGAAAGUCUCCAUAAAGGACUGGAAAUCGUGCCUUUUGGUGUUGGCGACCUUGAUCGUCGUCAGCUUGUCUUCGCGAGCUUCCUUGCAGUGGACUCUUACCAAGGACACUGCCACGUCAGCACCACACCGGGCAGAUGACUUCUUCCACUCUUGCACUCGACCAGGAACCUCGUUGAGCCGAGUCAUCAGAGAUUCGAGGUCAUUUUGAAGUGUCACCCUUGGCCAGAGUGAUGAGUCGAUCCGUGAAACUGCCACCUUCAGACGAGCGAGGUAACUUGUGACACUGGCGACACGGGAUUCCAGUCGAAGCACAUUCAUGGCAGCCUCGUCGCCGACUGGAGAAACGAUAGGGUCUAAACCCGUCUCGAUCCGUCUAGUUUCCUCGUUAAAGUUUUGGAAGAAUUCUGCAGUCAAAGAGUUAGUGAGUCGACUGGACAGGAUUAACUUGCAAGUAGUAAAGCAGUCGGAUUAAAAGGAGUACCUUCCAGCAUAAGAUAGAGCUUCUUGGCAAGAGUUCUCAGAUAGGCUUCCACGUCAUUUCUCUUACGAGCCGCGGACUCCAGCUUCUCAUUCAGAGCCAUCUUAUCCUUCUUUAGACGAGUUACCUCUCGGUUGGAUUCAGUGAGAGAGGACUUCAGCUUGCUUACUUCUUCUUCCAGCACUCCGACCGAAGCCAGCUUUUGGUCUGCAAGGGCAGUCUUAUCUUGAGCUUCCUUCUGCACAGCUACAAGGUCCAAGUCCUUCUUCUCCAGAGCCAACCUCAUUUUCUCUGUAGAAUAAGCAAUCAGAUCAAACAAGAGAUCGAAGAAAUAUUUUAAAGGACAAUCGACGUGAACAGUCGACAGGCAGUUACCUUCCAUACCAGCAGCUUCAUCUUGAGCUUUCUUCAACUUUUGUUGGGCCAGCUCCAAGUCGAGAUUGAGUUGCCUCUGCUUCUCCUCAAAUUCGGCGAACUUAGAAAUGAGAGUACAAGAUUUCUGCAGAAGGUAAAAGACAUGUCAAUCGACAAGAUCAAAGAUUAUUUACUUUCAAGUGAAUAAGACUUAAAAGUUUACUCAGACCCCAGCCGACUGCCCGCAGUCGACCGUGGUCUCGGGGACUACACCCGGCGGGUGCACUUGGCGUGCCCCCACUAAUUCAGACCCCACUCGACCGGUCCGCCCGAGUCGAGUAAAAAAAGAGAAGAAAGAGAGAAGAACUAUUCAGACCCCGGCCGACUGCCAGCAGUCGACCGCGGUCUCAGGGACUACACCCAGUGGGUGCACUUGACGUGCCCCCACUGGUUCAGAUCCCACUUGCCGGUCUGCCCGGGUCGAGUGGAAGAAAGGAAAGUGAAAAGUACUCAGACCCCAGUCGACUGCGGUCUCGGGGACUACACCCAGUGGGUGCACUUAGCAUGCCCCCACCGGUUCAGAUCCCACUCGACCGGCCUGCUCGCCCAGGCCAAGUGGAAGAGGGCAAAUUCUAAAGACAACAAAACACCUAUUGGGUGUACAGAUUCGACGCAAACAAUAAGAGAUUGUAUGAAAGAAAAUAUUUCAGGUAGCAUAUCCUAAUAGAACAAGAUCAGUCGAAAGCCAACUUACCUGGACAUUGGCCCAAAGAGCCGCGCUGGCAUCAUAAGCAGCCUGGCUGUUCUCGUGCACCGUCUUCAUCCGCUCCAUCAUCACGUUAGCCUGACGUAUAGCCUCCACAGCGGCGUCUGACUGGCUUUCCGAAACAUGAUAGUUGGUGAAGAAAGGGGCAGACGGCCCAGAUGCGGCAGCUUGGAGCUCCAGGCAUGGGGUUGGGCGGCUGAAGGAAACACUGGUACAAUCGAUGGUGCAGGGCGCUCACCCGACAAAGGGACAGCAAAAGUUACAGAGGCCCCACCUACAUCUUCAGGUUGUUGGACAGUUGGUUCCGCCAUCAGUCCCGGCUGAGAUGUCUUGCCAGCCGCUACUUUUUUGUUCUUUUUGGGCCUCGGGGCCACAUCUUCAUCAUCAUUCAGAAGCUCGAUAAUGUUGGGUGGGGCUGCAACUAAAUCAGUCGACCCCAAGUGAAUCACCAGAAUUUGAUCAACCAAAUAAUCAAGAAAAAGAUCACGAGAAUAUUACCUGGGUUGGAGGUAACCGCGUCUUCCAUUUCCUCGUCUCGGUAUUGGCGGGAAGAAGUUCCAGAGGUAGCAGCACUGCAAAUGUCAACUUUCAGUCGGUUAUGUUAUGUUGCUCGAGUCGACUAAAAGAUCGGGUCAGAUGAUUACCUGGAGAUGGUGGGAAUGGGCACUUUGAUUCUGGGCAAAGCCUUCGGCGGUUUGGAGGAUGUGGCCUUCAAUGGUUUCGGCGCAGGAGGCGGCGCAGUCUUGAGCUGUUUUGGUCCCUUCUCAGUCGACACCGGAGAAGACGUCCGAGGGCGCUUUGAAGACUGCCCAGUCGGUACGGCCACCAGGUCAGGGGUGUUUGCCGGGUCAUGAGCGUGCUUGGACCUCCUUUCUCUACGGGGAGGGGGGGAGUCGACCUCUUCUUCGUCACUCGGGUCGUUGCUCUCCUCGUCCUCCUCUACAUCCGAGUGCCACUCGCCACUCUCGCCCCCGCUCGCCUCUUCCUCGACAUUUUGCUCCUGCACUCCAUUGGGCAUCGAGUACAUAUCAAUAAGAACCUGAAAAGACAAUGAACAAAAGAAAGACAGUCGACCGACAACAAGAUGUUACAUAGUAAAUCAAGAAGACACUCGACAAUGCAGAAUCGUACCUGUUCCGGCUGGCACGAAUGGUCGAAUGGAACCACUCUCCUGGACCUCCGGGGAUUAUCCUUGUUGCCGGUAAUACCUCUCAGCCACUUCUCCACUGUGUCCUCACUAACAUCCUCCGGGUGGAUCCGAGUGGAAUCCUCGAGUCCCGAGUACAUCCACAUCGGAUGGUCACGAGCUUGGAGUGGUUGGAUGCGUCGAGUGAGGAAUACCUCCAGCAGGUCCAUACCAGUCACUCUGUCGCGGACAAGUUGGACGACCCGCUCGACCAACACCUUCACCUGCGCCUUCUCUUCUGAUCACUCUCAAGGAGGAGGGAUUCUCCACUCGAGCCAUGGAAAAGGGGGGAAGUCCAGUCGACUGGCCCGGGGUCAGCUCGUCCUUGCAGUAAAACCAGGUUGACUGCCAGCCUCGGACCGAGUCGGGAAGGAUCAUAGCUGGGAAGGUGCUCUUGUUCCUCAUUUGGAUUCCAAGACCCCCGCACAUCUGUAUCACGUGCGUCCUCUCAUCACUCGGGUUGGCCUUCUUGACCGUCUGGGAGGACAUGUGAAUAUGUGCUUGAAGAGACCUCAGUGUGGUCGGCAACCCAAGAAAUUCUAACACAUAGACACGAAAGCAGCGAGGUACAUGAUGGUGUUUGGAGAAAAGUGGUGGAGUUGAGCCCCGAAGAAGUUCAAGAAGCCGCGAAAGAAAGGUUGGGGAGGCAAAGAAAACCCGCGGUCGACAUGAGUGGCGAGGAGGACGCACUCACCCUCCUGCGGCGGCUCGGUCUCGUUCCCCGGGAGCCGCGCCGAUUCGUGGGGAAUCAGUCCCCCCUCAACUAGGUCAUCAAUGUCAUCUUGACUGAUUGUCGAGCGGAUCCAGUCACCCUGGAUCCAGCCAGGCGGUAGGCCGGACCUCGACGAAGAUCCGCCCCGGCUGGUCUUCUUCCCUUUUGCCUUCGCCAUCGCCUUCGCCAUCGCCUUCUUCGCACGCUCCAACACCACCGUCUUCUCCUUCCCCAUGGCAGCGAAUUGAGUUCGAGCGGGGCGACGACGCCGAGAGCAGAAGCAGGCACAGUGGAGGAAUCUGAGGAGGAGGAAGAAGAAUGGGGGCGCACUGUUCAAAGGCCCCGGUCCGGCGCCUUAUAUAAGGUCGCUUCCGAGUGACUGACUUGUAGGCCCGGACGAUCUUAUCAAAUCCCGCAACAGUCGCGCGCGCGAUACGUAGCAAAAAAGGUGGCACAGAGAUCGAGGCGGCCUGCCUAAUCCGUCCCGAUUACUGCGGCCUCCCCCACCCGGCGCUUCCCAAAAUUCGAAUCCCGCAAAAUCCGCAGGCGGCAGAACAACCCUUCAGACGGAAGAUUUUUUCCAUAUCAACACUCGAAACUUAACAACGAAAGUUCACUCGACAAAACCAAGAAUGGAUCAAGGCGACUGAACAAGCAGUUGAAGCCAUCUUGAAGGUUCAUUCGACCUCUGGACGAGACACUCUCAAAGCACAAAAGCUAAAUCGGAAGGAUCAUCAACUUCUUCUCCACUCGAACCCUGAACCAUUCGGGGGCUAAUGAUGAAGCUAUGUACCUAGGGUAGGGUCAUAGACCUGACCUAGAUAUCCUCCCCUAGGAUAGCACCCUAAAGCCAGGAUCAUCCAAAGGGUAUCAUCAUCCACUCGACCGGAAUUGUUCCACUCAGAAGAAUCGAUAUCACUCGACCGUCGCAGAAGUCACUCGACGGUCAGAAGAGCUAAAGCCACUCUGCAUAUGCAACGGUCGAGCAUUUACUCAUAGGCUUAAUUGGCAUUCACAACACUUUAGCAUUCUCUCUUCAAUGUACCUUAAACCCUCUGUGUCGUGGGCUGGCUGGGGUCCUGGCGCACUCUAUAUAAGCCACCCCCCUCCACAGGCACAAGGGUUCGCACCCCUUGUAACCCACACACAUAUAAUCUAGUCGACCACCUCCGGGCUCCGAGACGUAGGGCUGUUACUUCCUCUGAGAAGGGCCUGAACUCGUAAAACUCGUGUGUACAACUCCUCCAUAGCUAGGAUCUUGCCUCUACAUCCCUACCCCCCAUUCUAGUGUCAAACUUAGAACCACGACAAUUAUCGCUUGAUGAACUGCUAAACAAGGUGAAGAGAGAGACCGAGCUUGGUGGUGGAAGACACCUAUAGCGACGGCAAAGAGGACGAGGUCCGCGACCGGCUUGAGGACAGCGUCGAAGAGGUCACGACAGUUAAGCGCUUCGUCUCCCGCGUCAACGCGAGCUAGCAGAGGUGCUAGGGUUUGUGCGAGGUGGAGAGGUGGAAGAAGAGAUAAUGAUCACGGUGAGUUGAGUAUUUAUAGGGAUAGGGACAGCACAACGUAGUUACGCAGGUGCCCCUGGCGGUUCACAUCCGAAGGACAUGUGGCUUGCAUGCAACUCAUUGGGAGUUGAUCCUUGUUCCCACGCACGUCUGGAUUGUCGGGUGGUCGUUCCAGUUUCUCUGGUAUUCAGGCAAAAUGAUAUGGCAAUUAAAACAGAUUUAAUAUUUGUCUCUAUGUCUUCUACCGACAAGGACUCGGAGAAGACAAUCGACAGGUUUCAAUAGAAUGCAUAUGAUUUGGACAGAUAGAGUUUGAGAUAGAAGCACAAAGAGGGUAAGGGUCCGAUCACAGUCACUUAGAUCAAGAAAAGAUUCAAGCAUGAAGACAUAGCUAUAAGUGAAUGAUGUAGAGGACAAAACACGAAUAUAUAUAUAGGGUCGUGCUAUUCGUCACCCUGGGUGAGGAAUAGUUAUUCUUCAUCCCUCUCUAUUUUACCAUCAAUGCACCGUAAUUUUACGUUCCGUAAGUUUUGUCUUAUUUCCGACGCAAAAAGAGACCGUAAGAAAAUAUAUAAUCGCCGUAAAAAAUAUUUUAUGUUAUGUAAAAUUACAAACGUAAAAACAUAGUCUAAAAUACACAUAAACUGCAAAUUCUCUUGUCUUAUGACCUAUAUUUUUUAUUUUCUUAUGUUAAAAUUUACGUAGUGAAUCAAUAAAAAUGUGACUAUUUGAAUUUCAACCGUAAUUUAAUUAUGAAAUGAUUGUAAGAUUACCUCGGGUGAAGAAUAACUUAUUCUACACCCUGGGUGAUGAAUCGUAACACUAUAUAUGUGUGUGUGUGUGUGCGUGUGUGUGUGUAAACACUAUUCUGAUCACGGGAUCAGAAUAAUAUUCCGAUCACAACUUGAACUGCCUGAGUAACGCGCCUGAACUUCCCUCUGUACGAACCCGACCUUCGGGCUAUCUUCGCAACCGUGGCUUCCCCGGUGAAUUAUUCUGGUUAGUCGUGUUCUAUAUGAUGUUAGUGCAAUCCAGAAUCAUUUUUUAGCAACUAAAUAUCGGUUUUAAAUAGGAAUCUCACUCGUUGGCGGAUUUUGUUCUCGGGUCGUGAUGAAAUUGCAUUUUUUUUUUGCAAUUUUACUACCUGAGUUGUUCGACCUGAACUUCUUCUAUUGCUAGGUUGAACUUCUGCCAACAUUGCCCAAAUGGGGCUUGCGAUAUACCGUUGGAAAGCUAUGAACACCAGUAUCAUCACCCAAGUUGAAUUUUUGGCAAAAUGUAAGAGGUUUAAGAGCAGUUUUGAAAAUCGUGUUUUCUUCGUAUAAAAAACGUGAAUCGUAUUUUUGAUCGCAUUUCUAAACCGUUUACCGGAAUUAGGAAAAUAAUAUGGCCUUGGAAAGCUGCUGUAAAACCGCUCCUUCCACAUGUUGAAAGUUUUCUUUAAUUCCUCAUGGUUAAAGAGUAAUUUGGAAAAUCGUAAAUUUUCACAAACCGAACAGCCGAGUUCGUAUUUUCGAUGUCAUUUCUAAACAGCUAAUCCAAUUGAGGCAAAUGAUAUGGUGUUGGAAAGCUUAUGAAAAUGCGAUACUUUCUCUUGUUGAAAGUUUUUUCUAACUUUGAACGGUUUUUAAAAGUAAUUUAGAAAACGGUACCAGUUCCACCGAGUACGUAUUUUCGAGCUAAUUUUUUAACCUUACGUCUGAAUGCAGUAAAUGAUAUGGCGUUGGAAAGCUUGAACAAAUGCGAAACUUUUUGUUAUAUAUUAUUUCUCCCAAUUCAUUACGGUUUUAUGUAAAUUUUGAAAAUGGCUAAAAACUUAUUUUCGCCGUCAUUUUUACAAACUUUAUCGGAACAGGGCAAAUAAUAUACCGUUGAAAAGCUACGAAAAAUGCGAAACUUUUUCAUAUUGAUGGUUUUCUCCGAUUCCUAGUCAUUUUCAAGUAAUUUUGAAAAUGGCGGCAUCAUUCGUUCUGCCUUUAUCGCGAAAGAGAUUUUUCGAAAAUGCACCGCGUGAAGACCUUGAACUUCUCGGCAUGUCUACUUGAACUUCACUAUGUUUUUCACGUGUUUUUUUGCUCAUAGCUCUCCAUUACUCACUGGAAUCGAGCAGGUGAUAUACCGAUGGAAAGCUGCUGUAAGCACGCAACUUUCCUGUAUAGAUCAUUUUUCAUACUCGCGACGAUUUUAAAAGUUUUUCAUCUGAAAUUCAUUCAGUGUAGUAGUUGAACUUCCUGCUGUUUUCAUGUUGAACUUUUGUGACGUGUUUUCGCUUGUAAUUUUCUCAUCCAUUCGUUAGUGUUACACAAAUGAUAUUCCUUUUGUACAAACGUCUCUCACAAUAAUUUUUCUAACCUUCUACGACCGAGGACUUGAACUUAUAACAACAAAAAAAUUGGACCUUGCCUUUUAAUUUAUAUUGCUUAUAUUAAACACACACCAUGUAGUAUGUGAACUUUUCCAUUUUUAUAAUUUGAAUUUUUUAUUUCCUUUUUGAAAUCAAAUUGCUUUCAAAUAAUAACUGAACUUCUUUGUUGAUUAAGAGAAUUAUUUUAAAAUGCAUUUUUUCUUUUUUGUGUUAUUCAAACAUGGAAAUACAAGGUGAACCUCUCUCACAAGAAUUUUUGAAUUUCCCAGACAGAACACUUGAAUUUCUUUCAACAAACCUUUUAAGCUUUUAUUUUUCUAUACUUUUAUUCUCACCUGAAAUGCAUUCCUUGCAAUACUUGAACUUCUCAUUGUUUUCACUAUGAACUUCUAUCGCAAUUUUGUGUAUAUGUUGAAUUACACGAAAUUGAAGGUCAGACGUCAUUUUUUUGCCAUUUUAAAACAUGUAAUUGGAGGUCGCAUGUCCCGCAAUAUAAAUUCUAAACCAUGCAUGGAGGAGCACGUGAACUUCUUGCAACAAACGUUUUAGGAUUUUAGUUUUAUAUUCCUUUAUCCUCACCUGAAACGCAUCCCGUGUAGCAGUUGAACUGCUCGUUGUUUUCACUCUGAACUUAUGUCACGUAUUUUUGUUCGUAAUUGCUCACCUAUUCGUCGGAGUUGCACAGAUGAUACACCUUUUUUUCGAAACUUAUUGAAAAUACAAAACUUUUUCUAAUAUGGUCAAAAUUUUGUUUCGAACAACAUACACCAAUUUUUUAACCAUUUAUUUUGAAAUAGAGCAUAUGAUAUACCCUUUUAAAAGUUGGUGAAUAAGUGGAACUUUUCUUAUGUAGAGCAUUUUGUUUCAAAAUUGUAAUAGUAUAAGAGAAUUAUUUCAAACGCAAAACAACAUCUUUUUUGUGUGUUUUUGAACAUGUAAAUACAUGGUGAACCUCUCUUACAAGAUUUGUUUACUCUCCCAGGCCGAGCACUUGAACUUCUAGCAACAAAACAUUUAGUCUUUGCCUUUUCAUUAUUUUUUUCAUACAAAAUCCACACCAUGUAGUACGUGAACUUCUCGCAGUUAUCAAUCUAAACUUCUCUUGGUUACGUAAAAAUAUCAAAGUUUUUUAUAGACAUUGAACCGCUCUACCUUUUUUAUUUGAACUUCAUCGUGUAUUUCUAUAAAUGUAAAAAAAAUUAGAAACAUCAAGCUUCUUCGUUAUUUCGAAUUGAACUUAUUGGUUUUAACUUUAGUAACUCAAAAAAAAUAGAUUUUCUUCAAAUAAGUAUCAAACCGCCCCCCUUUUUCCAAUUGAACGUCUUGGUUUCACAAGAAAACAUGAGUUUUUUCUAUACAUUGAACUGCUCCAUUUUUUAAAAUUGAACUUCGUGGUUUUAAUCUUUAGUAUCCGAAAAAUAUGAGUUUUUUUAUAAACAUCAAAUAGCUUCAUUUUUAAUUAGGGCUUCUUGGUAUUAUUCAUUAGUAAGGAAAAGUCCUAAUUAUGUAAUAAAUAUCGAACCGCUCAAUUAUUUACAUUUGAACUUCUAGGUCUUUUUGAAAAGAGGGAAAUCGAUUUUUAUAAACUUUUUGAAUGGCUCAUUUUUUUUAAUUUGACCUUCUUGAUAUUGUAAUAAACAUUGUACUUAUCCGUUAUUUAAAUUUGAACGUCUAGUUUUUUUAGAAACGGGGAAAAUCAAUUUUCUCUAGAAAUUUUGAGCUGCCCUAUUUUUCUAAAUUAAACUUCUCCGUUUGUUCUUUAGUAACAGGGAAAAUCCUAACUAUGGAAUAAACGUCAAACCUCUUCGUUAUUUAAAUUUGAUGUUCUAAUUUUUUAAUGGGAAAUUCUAUUUGAACUUCGUUAUUUAUUAUUCUUUAGUAUCGGUUAAAAAUUUGAGUUUUUUGUAAGCAUUGAACCGCUCCAUUAUUUUAAUAUGAACUUCUAGAUUUUAUUGAAACGGGGAGAAUUCAUUUCUUUUUAUAGACUUUUUCAAAUUGAUAUGUUAAUUAAAUUCAAACUUCUUGGUUUUUUAUCGGUUUAUAAAAAUCUGAGUUUUUUUACAAACGCCGAACUUCUCCUUUAUUUUUAAUUUGGACUUAUUAGUUUUAUUCUUAGAGAAAAUUUAUGGUUUUCAAAAAAGCAUCAAACUUUUUUUAAUUGAACUUUAACUUUUAUUUUUCGUAGAAGUGGAAAGAAUUUGAGUUUUCCGUCUAGGUCGAAGUACUCCGUUAUUUUUAAUUUGAACUUCUUGAUUUUUAUUCUUUAGUAAGAAGGAAAAUAUGACAUUUUAAUAAAUAUCGAAUUGCUUUCUUUCUGUAAUUUGGACUUUUUAGUUUUUUCUAUAGUAACUUGGAAACUCUAGUUUCGUAAUUAAGAUUGAACCGCUUUGUUUAAAAAAAUGUUUUUGACUAUGCCUUUUUCACAAGAACUUUUCUUUAUUACAAACUUGCCGACGGAGAAGACAACCAAAUCAUGAUAUACCAAGCAAAUAUCGUAUCUUUGUUUUUUCAUACACCAAACUGCCCACGUUUGGUUUUUGAACAUUUUUCAUUUGCCUUCUAUAGACUUCCUAAGUGUUCAUUUCAAAAUUACCAAAGUUGUGCAAACUAUUUUUUAUUUGUUUUCCCCAGCAUACUUUAUUUUUUAUUUGAGGAAAUACCAAGUUUCAAAAGUGAGAGUCUGUUUUUUUACACACUAAGAAAUUGAUAAAUAUAAUUUUUCCAAGUUUUUUGACAUAAGCUAACAACUUUUUUGAAUAAAAGGACACACUAAUUAUUUUAAAACGCACUUUCUUUUGCCAUUACAUCAGUAUGUUUUUAAUUGAACCACACACACAAACAGGAGUACACGCCGGAGCACGCACACAACACACACCAUAGCGCGCGCGCACACACACACACACGAGCACCCACAAGGUGUGCAUGCACACACAAACGAGACAACACACCCAGCACGCACGGACCAACGCACUAAUUUUUAUUUUAAUAAUUGCUUUUCUAAUGCUCUUUCUUAAUUUUGAACUUCUCUGAAAGUCUUCUUCGAACUUCUGAAUAUCUUUUUAUAGCUUCUAGCCUUCAGCUUCCAGUGGCCGAGCAUUCAGUCAGCUGAAAUCUGAAGUAGCAUUCAGUUAUCCGAACUUUGAAGUAUACUACUGCAGCUCUAGAGCAACCUCUCUGAUUCAGUUAUCUGAACUCUGACUAAAACAAUUCAAUGCACGAGCGCUUCAUGUGCUAGCAGCAGGCGCUGAAGCUUCCUGGUAGGUGUUGCAGCCUACAUGCAGCAUUCAUCCGUUGUUAGCAUUAGAAACAUGUGAUAGCCACAACAUGGGUAAUCAACUAAUCUACCAGCAAUUACAUGUCACUUCCGAAUCCUACGAUGUGCAACCACACGAGUUCUCCAGCAAGCAAUUAAACUGAAUUAGCCGCAAAAAAGCAAUUAAACUGAAUUCACCUGGGCCAUGGAGACGGAGAUGUUGGCAGGGAUGCGGAACAUUGUCGGCGGAGUUCUACACCUCCAAGAAGAGCUUGUAGACCUUGGCGGUGACCAAAGACAUGUCAGGCGCCUCGUGGUCCUUGGUCAUGCACUACAGCACCAGCGGUGUGAGCAACUUCGUCGUGUCAAUGAGGAACUUCAUAACCUGGAGUUUUCAACUUGCAAAAGGAAGG